rnacentral:lncRNA from 1 species
CAAGACUCGACUUUACGAGAUAGAAAAAUAAGGUCAAGAAACAGUGUUAAUUUCCCUUCCAUGAAGGUUUCCUACAAUUGCCUCCUCCAAACAAAACCUCUAUAAAACGUAGUCUGCAAAGUGCAAAAAUAAAAAAUAACUCAAAUGGCAAAAAAUAUUAGGGACGGAUGAGAUUCGGUAUCACCAACUGUCAGAUAUAAAAAUAAAAGAAAAAAGAAAGAAAACUAAUUACUCCUAUAUCCCAAUCUUGUACAAUGCUACAUUGUGAACAAAAAAUUAAAAAUAAGUAAAAUCUAAAAAGAGGCAAAAU